GCCCUAUCCAGGGGUUACAUUGAACAGGGGCCACAGUGUCUCCCAACCAUACACUAGCUUAUGUGCCGGGGGCCACAGUGUCUCCCAACCAUACACUAGCUUAUGUGCCGAUGGCCACAGUGUCUCCUAACCCUACACUAGCUUAUGAGCCGGGGGCCACAGUGUCUCCCAACCCUACACUAGCUUAUGUGCCGGGAGCCACAGUGUCUCCCAACCCUACACUAGCCUAUGUGCCGGGGGCCACAGUGUCUCCCAACCCUACACUAGCCUAUGUGCCGGGAGCCACAGUGUCUCCCAACCCUACACUAGCUUAUGUGCCCGGGGGCCACAGUGUCUCCCAACCCUACACUAGCUUAUGUGCCCGGGGGCCACAGUGUCUCCCAACCCUACACUAGCUUAUGUGCCGGGGGCCACAGUGUCUCCCAACCCUACACUAGCUUAUGUGCCUGUCUCCUUCCCUGUCUCCUUCCUCUCUUCCCUGUCUCCUUCCCCUCUUCCCCGUCUCCUUCCCCUCUUCCCCAUCUCCUUCCCCUCUUCCCACUCUCUUUCCCCUCUUCCCACUCUCCUUCUCCAUCUCCUUCCCCUCUUCCCACUCUCCUUCUCCAUCUCCUUCCCCUCUUCCCUGUCUCCUUCCCCUCAACCCACUCUCCUUCUCCAUCUCCUUCCCCUCUUCCCUCACUCCUUCCACGUAACCUUCCCCUCUUCCCUCUCUCCUUCCUCUCUUCCCUGUCUCCUUACCCUCUUCCCUGUCUCCUUACCCUCUUCCCACUCUCCUUCCUUGUCUCCUCCCCCUCUUCCUUGUCUCCUCCCCCUCUUCCCUCUCUCCUUCACCUCUUCCCUGUCUCCUUCCCCUCUUCCCUAUAUCCUUCCCCCCUUCCCUGUCUCCUUCCCCUCUUCCCAUUCUCCUUCCCUGUCUCCUUCCUCUCUUCCCUGUCUGCUUCCCCUCUUCCCUGUCUCCUUCCCCUCUUCCCUCUCUCCUUCCCCGUCUCCUUCCCCUCUUCCCCGUCUCCUUCCCCUCUUCCCUUCCCCGUCUCCUUCCCCUCUUCCCUCUCUCCUUCCCCG
rnacentral:lncRNA from 1 species